GAUAACAUUUUUAAUAAUGGACGCAAGAAAUAGCUGACCAGGAAACUUAAUUAAUCGUAAAGUAAGUAUUUCAUCCAUUCGAGACGAAGCUUUAACCCCAGGGCCAACGAGAAUCCAGAAGAAGCCAUGGGAAUAGUGCGGAGGAACCAAAA